UACAGAGGUGGCAAGCGUUGUUCGGAAUUACUGGGCGUAAAGGGCGCGUAGGCGGCUUGGUCAGUCCCGUGUGAAAUCCCUCGGCUCAACUGAGGAACUGCACGGGAAACUGCCUGGCUUGAGUUCGGGAGAGGGAAGCGGAAUUCCGGGUGUAGCGGUGAAAUGCGUAGAUAUCCGGAGGAACACCGAUGGCGAAGGCAGCCCCCUGGGCUGAGAUUGACGCUCAGGCACGAAAGCGUGGGGAGCAAACAGG
rnacentral:rRNA from 1 species